UUUCCUUUUCUGCUACCUCAUCAUCUGGCAAAUUCUUAUCUAGGGUGAAACAUAGUUAUCCAUAAAUCUCUUUUUCCUAUCAAGACUUUGCCCCGACAUCCUUUCUAAGAUUGUAAGAUGGUUUAUAUACACAUGAAUGUGUAGAUAAUUUUUCUACUACACUUGGUAAAUAUCAGAAUAUAGUGCAUAUUUUUCUCCAGACUAUGUCGUAAUAUCAGAUAGCAGUCUCACUCUAUUACUGGGUAUACUACAACCAACAUAACAUUUCUUCAGCUGCUUCAAUAAAGGUAUAGAAAGAAGUGACAUCUAUAGGGAAUUAUAUGAGAAAGUAAUGUCCUUUCCUGAUAACACGAAUGCAGUAACACCCAAACUAAAAGCUCUACUGCAAAUUUGCAUUUUCUCAGUUAGAACACUUAAGAAGCUACUGUGAGAUUAUGACCUUGCGAAAUAAUGAUCUGGAAUGUCUUCCCUCUGCUGUUAUGCCCCACUGAGUGCUACUGGUUUUCAUAGUUAAUCAUAAACUCUUGCCCUAAGUUAAUUGAUGUCCUCAUUAUGUCAUACUUAACUGCAGCUGAGAAGCGUCUUUAGCCAUUAAUUUUUUUAUUUUUUUUUCCUAGCAGUUAGCCUUACCGCAUCAAGCUGUGGAAAGUGUGAAGAAAGGAUCUCAAAAACAAAUUGACUGUCAGUGUGACCAUUAUAUCACCACUUAAAUUUGCAAGUACCAGAAGAAAAAGUUCCCAUCACCUUACAUAUUUCUCACUCUGCAAAUUUCAUGAAUUUUCUGUAAUAAUCACCAAAGAAGUAACUGCCUACUGGUGACAAUCAAGAGCUACAGUCUGGGGUUUUGCACCCUUCUGGAAAUGCCAAAGAACUAAUGUUUUCACUUAAAACUUGGGAAUCUCAGAGAUAUUGCUCUGAUGAUAAAGCUUCAGAUCCUCACUCUACAGCUCUUCUGAAGGACCAGGUUUCAUGUUUACAGUACGAAGAAGGACAUCUUGUAAAGGCACCUUUUCAUGUGUGGACUGACCAUAAAAAUGUAGGUAGGGGCUUCUUUUCCACCGUGGGUGCCCCUGUGGCAUCCAGAAAUGUCUCGCGGCUCUGUUAUCGAGUGGAGCUGUUUAAGAAAUAAAAAAAAUCCCCAAAUACAACUGACUCCUACUGGGUUACCUCAGACCAGACACUAUUUCAUCGUGUGGGACCAAAUGUCAAGCUAGACAAAGAAGGCAAGUAUACAGUGAGUCGGGCUAUUGUGGAGAUGGAGAGGGAAUAAAAACAAUGUGGACAAUAGUGACA
rnacentral:lncRNA from 1 species